rnacentral:lncRNA from 1 species
AGCCCUCGCGCUGCUGUCCGUCCACCCUAGGGCGACCUGCUGAUUCCCGGAGCUCAUCACGCAUGGUACCUUUUAGUCCUGUUGAUUCCCUCCUCAUGUGGCCUGAUUCAUUACUACUGUGCAAUAUGGAUCUCACCUUUUGUUGGUAUUGGCUGUAGAUGCAGAAAACGGAAGCCUCAUGAAGCCUGAUGCAUUACUACUCUGUGCAACAUGCAUCUCACCUUUUGUUGGUACUGGCUGUAGAUGCAGAAAACGGAACAUCUGCCUCCUUUUUUGGUGCGGAGAUGAGCCCCUAUGGUAAAUGAAUCUACGGUAGAUCCACUUAAUUUAAUUCAUUUUUGUUGCCUUUAGCCAUUUAUGCGGUUCUAAAAGUGACUUCACAUGUGUUCAUUAUCUAUUGGUGCAGGUAUGCAAGUACAGGUCAUUUUAUAAGAAGGGGAUGCAUUAUUUUCUGGUUUGUGAUUCUCCGUACAGAACAGAGAAGUUUCUCCAAUUUAUUUCUUCCCUCGGAUUGGACUGAUACCAGUACCAACUGUGACUUGGCAUUUUUGAGUCAUCUUGAUACUUUCAUAGUAAUCUAACAAUGUCUUUGUAGUGGUUUACCUUUUUUUUUGCAGAGAUCAUCUAUUAUUGUUGUAAAAAAAUAACACUAAUGUAUAUCAUUAGAAUUUUGCAAGAGUAAAUAUAUAAGAUGCACAUCUUGUUUAUACAGUAUCCUCACUGAAAUCAUUCAGUUGGAGCAUGUGAAUAGAAAUAAAU